rnacentral:lncRNA from 1 species
UUUUUGUUUCUUCUUUUAAAAAAAAAAAUACAUUUUUUUUGCCUCUCUACAUUUUUAGUUAAAAAUCUAAUAAAAUGUACAUUUUUAGUUAAAAAUCUAACAAUUCAGCGUAGUUCACUUUUGAUAAACCCGGCCACAUAUUCAAACUAAAGGUUAAUCAAUCAUUAACUUUAUUCAACUCCACUUAAUUAGCAGAUGUAUUGAUUUAUGAUGAACUAGACAAAAUCGCACUAACACGGCAAUUUUGUUGAAGCUCCAAAUUGAAAACAAAAUUACAGUGGCACACGUCAAAAUCACCAUGAACCUAAACCAUACAUACAAGCUUGUUUUCAAAUAUCAAAUUUGAACCGAAAUCCUGAGCCUGAAAGGAUACCUUAGAUGUCCCCAACAGUUAUUAAUAAUGAGAAGGAAAUUUGAAAGUGCACGUGGCAUGAAGGUAAUAUAACAGAGGUUACUUGGCAAUCACUUCAUCUACCCGAGACAUACAAAUCCAAACUCCAUGCCUAAUACUGUUCCUUCAGAUCUUACGCAAAAUGCAGAAAAUUGAAAUGUACACAUUGCAAGGACACAUAAUACCAACCACAAUUGAACUACUAUGUGCAAAUGAACACUGCUUGCACUUUGUCAUUAAAAACUGAAAUUAUGCAGAGCCAAGUUCAAAGAAAUAGCUAGAAAGCUAAGUACUUUAGGCUCUUGUGUCUGAACAAGAAACAAAAUUAUACACAACAAUAGAAUAAAGCAAGGUGAUGCAUGCAGCUACUAGCUUUUUUAUUGUUGCCAAGUAAAAUAGAAUAAAGCAUCAAUAGAAGAUUGCAAACUCGUACAUCAAACAUACAGUUUCAGAAAAGGAUUCAAAAACAGAAAUAAAUUCAUUGGGGUAAAAACACUGAAAUCUUGCUGUGCAUAAUAAGAAUUUAGAAAGAAAAAAAAGACACUAGAUUGUGGUUCGAAACUUGGAGACUUUUCCCCCUCUAGAAAAUGAACAAUGUAAAAGAAAAUACAUUGGACAAAGCAUUUCAAAAAAUACACCAUGGAUCAAACAUUUCAAAUAAGUUGGCAAAUUUAAAAAAAAAAGUGCCAAACGAAGUUAAUUAACAAACCAAAAAGAGAAAACAAACAUAACUUUGUAAAUAAACAAAUGCCCCAACAAAACAUUCAAAUACUAAGAUACUUGAUUAUUCUCAGCUAAUUUUUGAACUUUAAAAGAUAGAAACCAUUUUGUUAUAAUCAGAAUAAGCAAUCUACAAACUGUAUAUUCUUUCCACUGAUGCCAAAGAUUUUAUUUCUCUCCAUACCAAGCUUAAUGAUGACAAUAAUAGAGAUUAUCAAUGCAAAAGUUAAAAGGAUCAAAUCAAUGAAAAUAACAACAUGAAAACAAAAGAAAGUCAGAAAGCAUGAUGCAGUCAUUGUAUGAAAACUAAUUCAACCUCAUAAGGGCUGUUCUUGGGACAAAGUCCUCAUCCAGAGCCAGGAAGCAUGUAGUAUAAAGAGGCUUUGCUAGCUUAACUACAAGCCUGUCAAACACCAAAACCAAGUGAAGGCAUCAGAUUUUUUUCAAAGAAUGCCCCCAAAAUUCCAAACAAAAGCUCUGAAAUUAUCAUUAUCAUUGUAAUAAUAAACUCUUACUCUGUUAAUUAAACUAUAUAUACUGAUAUAGAUAUAUAUUUCUUUCCUUCCAGGAAUAAACUACUACCACUACCACUACCACUACCACUAAGAUGAACAAGUAAAAAUACCAACUAAACUAAACCCUUGUUUAAACCAACAAAAACAAGGGAAUUAGCAUCUUCAAUCCUCUCCAUCCAAUCCAAUAUCUCCAACAUUUCCUUCAUACUUUCUCUUUACAAUAUUCUUCACGCUUAUACCUCAAUCCCAUUACCCCAUUUACAAGCUGCAAUUCACUUCACAGCUUCUCUACCUCUGCAAUGAUCAACCAUCAAACAAUCAGUAUAAACACCACAAAAUCAUGAAAAAUAACCUCGCACCAACAUAUCUGAUCAAAUGGGCGGCCGGUAUCCAUCACAGACAUACACAACAAAUGUGAUUACUUUCAAUUAAUUCACAUUCUCAAAUUAUCAACGUUGUGAGUGUCGUGUCUGUGUCGAUACUUCGCAGAUAAAAACACAGGGUAAAAAAAGUACCUUUGUUGGUGUAUCAGCUACCCUAUAAGCAUCAGCAGUUAUACCCACUAACCAUAAUCCAGGAAAAACAUUCUGAAAACAAAAUAAACAAACAAAUAAUCAAAUAGUAUUCAUAAUCAUCAAUCAGAAGAAGAAAGUAAUAAAAAAUCUGAAUGAAUGAGAAAUUGAGAAUCAUUAUCAUACAUCCAUUUGUUUCUGAACAUUCUUGGCCCUCUUUCUGGGCCUACGAUUGGGCCUAGAACCAGUCAUGACAAAAAUAUCCUCUUCGAUCUCAUCCUUCGAAAGAGCGAUCCAGAAUUUCCUCUUUUCCUUCUUCUCACCACAGUUUGUAUCAGCAAAACCCCUGAGCCUCAGCGAUUUCGGAGCUGGAUUCUCACCGUUAACACCUUCCUGCAAUUCUCCACCGUUGUUGUUUCUAGAACCUCCUGCUCCGAUCUCAAACCCGCCUCUCGGUAUCAUCGGCUUCCUCGGCCUCAAAUUCCACGGCUUCUGCACUAUCUCCUCCGCUCCACCACCAGCUUCAGCAUCGUCUUCAGCGUCGCGUUUUCUGUCACCGGCGUUGUCAUCGGUUUCGUUGUUCGACGACGGCGUCGGGGGAGCUUGUCUCUGAGAGGAGGAAGAAGCAAAUCCGAAUCGGUUUCUCGCGGUUCGGGAUCCGAGUCGGUGAGGACGGGAGUCAGGUUCGGAAUCAGGCUCGGAAGCAUGAUCGGGUGGACGACGGGAACGGUGGUGGUUGGUGGCGUUAGUGUUGUUUUUUCCGGUGCCGCCCCAUUUGAGAAAGGGGAGAGAGAAGUUGUGAAGAGGUUGUGACUUGACUGAUGCAGGAGUAGUAGCCAUUGAUGAAUGAACGGUGAAGAAAUAGUAGCGGCUUUGGAAGGUUAACGAUGAAGGGUUUAAACGGUGUCGUUUGAAAAUGAGAAACCCUAGAGCUAGGGUUGUUGAUGAAAUGGGAGAGGGUGGUGGUUUUGAAUUGAGUUCAGAGAGAAAAGGGGGGCGCUGCGUUGUGCUGCCUACACAAGCCACACAAGAAGGAGUCUCAUGCUAUGUGCUUAUUUGUGCUAUGGAAUGCAAAAUAUAAGAGUGUGUGUGUUAGUUUUCUAUUUCCUUCUUCUUGUUAGUGUAAGUUACAAUCUACCCUACCUUCUUUCUAAUUAUUCCCCUUUAGGUCCUUCCUCUAUCUCUUAUCCAAAAUUGAAUCAACGAGAUCUCUCUCGAUCAUGGUUUAAUCUGAUUGAACUAGAUGAUCAAUGAUAAAUAAGAAAGAAUGAAAUAUUAAAAAUUAAUCUUUGAGUUGUACUUCGUAGACUUGUGUCAAUAAACAAAUUUACAAGAUAAUAAAGGUUUAGUUGAUUUUUUCAUAUUGCAAAAUGCACACAAAUAAUAAUUCAGUGAGGUUUCAUCCAUAGUGUUUCGGAACCUAAUUCAUUGGGAAAGAAUUACAAAUAUUUUUGAAAAGCAUGUGCUUUCUGCAACGUUUGACCUAAGUCGGGUAGCUUCAAACUAUUAGGCAUGUUGAAGUUGUAAACAAGGUUAUUGUAAAGUGGGUCAAAUGAGAUUUAGAUAUGAAGCCAAACGAAAUAAGGUCACACAAUUGGUUAAUGUCUUGAGUGCAUAAAGAAAAUCUUUCGACACAAAAGGAAGAUGCACAAAUGUAAAAGGAUAAUCACUUGAUUACUGCAGAAUCACUAGUAAAGUGGGAAUGUAAAACCUUGAGCACAAUGGGCACCUAAAAUCGAUGAAUGUAACAUAAAAAAAAAAAAAAGAUGAAUUAUUAGGAUUUAUACGUAAUAAUGUAGGUCCUAAAUAUGUAAAAUUGACUCUAUAUGCCUUGGGAUUAAUGGUUAAAAGUGUAUUAAGUCAUGCUUCUGUCGUAUGCACGAUGAUUGUCUUCGCAUUCUCACAAUCUAUUUAUCUCUAUUUGCAUGUGUGAUGUAUUUUCAUGCACACAUAUGGUUUUGCGUGUUUCUUUUCGAGUUUACUAACAAAGAUUCUUUCGUACGCAUAUCAUGAGUGUCGUACCUUGGCGUGAAAUUACAACUAAAACCCAAUUUUAUGAAUCACCUCGAGUUAAAUCAGUUAUAUCUUCGUUUCCCUCAUUCUCUACACAAAUUAUCUCCUACAAACCCUAAAAUUCAACUUUGGCAUAUUCAUGCUAUGGCAACAUGUUAAAACAUUCUUCAUUCUUCAUCAACCUUGCAACCAUGUGAAAUCUUGUGAUACCCAAAUUAAGUCAUUUUCUUCAAAUCCCUAACUUUGAAAUCUAAAUUCACCGUUAAUGUUUAUCAAGCUCUUGAUCAUGGACAAUUAUCACAUAGUUAAGAACACUUCUUAUUAAUUUCAUUCCAUAUUCUUCAUUAGUGUGGUUUAUUUUUCUCUUUGUACAUUAAGCCUUUGAACAAUGCUCUUCGAGUAAAAAACCUCUAUAUGUUAAAGGUUUCGUUAUUGAUGAAGAAAUGAAAAAGUGUGAAAAACCCUAAUCUACUACUUUCACUCGUGCAUUAAGUAAGAAUCUUAUUUUCUUAUAAUAAUUUUAGUUUCCUUCCUAGAUUAGUAUUCUCAUUAUGUUUUGUUUUGACAUUUUAUUGAAGAGUUCAUCUUAUGUUGUGUCUAAGAUGGAAUUGAGACCCUUAUAUCAUUAACAUCAUCUUAGGUAAGAAUUAGACCCUUGAACUGUCUCAAUCGAUUUAGUAGAUGUUUCUUAUGCUAAGUUGUUACUAUCAUAUGCCUCAGGAGCAUUACAUGUGUUGGUGGCGAAUGAGCCUCUCUCGGGAAAGCCAAUGAUGUCGUCACAAGAGAUUUCACUACUUACCUUAUGUAAGAGGUGAGUUGUAUCAAUCUGCAAUCAUGAACAUAUUGUAUCUAGGACGAACAAAAAUGCCUUGAUUCUCUAUCUUAUCCGAGUAAAAGCCAGUUGCCGAGCUUUAUCUUAUCGAAACCUAAUUAAUUAAUUGUGUAAUCGGACGAGUGAGAUUAAAAUGGAAACUAUAAUAAAUGAUAUUAAAGUAUUAUAUUCUUUAUGUUACCCUAACUGCGUAAACAACACUGCCAUACUCGCGAGGGAUUUUGUCCCGACAUAUUCACACGUUUACAACAGUAUAAUUUUGCUCAUGCCACAAUACAAGGGAGGGCAUUCUUAUAAUUAAGAAAAAGUACAUUUAGUUGAAAUUAACAUGUCGUGAGACUUUCGCUUGCUUAUCUGUCGGGAUAACUAGAAUUAUUCCUGCGCAAAUACUUGAUUAUAAUUGAAUAUAUGAAUUACUAUGUCCGAUGCGAACUAUAUGAAGGCAUUACUAAGUAAAGCAAAGAAAAGCAUCCAAUUGUUAUUCAUACCGGAUAACUAGAAUAAUAAUAAUAAUAAUUUAUACUAUAUAUAAAGAAAGUAGACCGUAUUGGACCGACUAUUUCUCAUUCUAAUUAUAAAUUUAAGUAAAUUUGACCAUAAGAUUACUAUUUCGUUGGUGUCAUUAUAAAAAUAAGAAUUAAUAUUAUAUUUGUUAUAUUUUCUUAAAACAUAUUAUAUUUAUUAUCUUGUUUGUAUCAUUGAAAAAUACAAGGUUCCUUUGUUACAUCCUUAAAAAAAAAUUUAAUUUGUUACGAUAUGAAAAUGCAAAAUAUCUAUUAUUUAUAGAUAUAAUUUUAAUCAAAAUUAAAUUAAUUUUAAUCAAAAUUUCAUAAAAGGUAUUGCUUGUAAUUUAUACUGUUAGCGCAACAAAAAAGAGCAGAUAGACAAAUACAAAGUGUCUGUCUAAACGCUAGUAGUAGUAAUAAUAAUAAUAAUAAUUGGAUUAUAAAUGCUUACUAGAAUCAAACUACGUGACAUUUGAUAAAAGGUUCCGUAUAAAUACUAGACAAAUAGAACUCACAUCUCAAAACUAUCAAUAUACCCUUUAUUGAGUUCACGCGUUCACGCACAUUGAUUAUAUAUACGACACGUUCACGCACAUUAGUUAUAUAUACGUAAACUCAGUUUACAAAUCAAUGAAAAAGAUGUUGAUUCCGUCUUUAAUCUUGGUAGGUAUUGGUUGCACAUUCAUGGUGGUUUGUGGGUGAAAAGGAGUGAAGGUUCAAAGUGAUAAUGAAAAAAAGGUUUUAAGAAAUUUACAUAGAGAGGACAAUUUUGGCAUCGUUGUAAAAUUUUAAGUAAAUUUGGGUGCAAUUAGAAUUAUAUGGAGUGAGACUAGAAAAAACCUAAAUACUAAAUUGGCUCUGAAUAGAAAUAAGCAUAUUUUUGUACCAAAAAAAAAAAACACAUAAGCAUAUUUUAGUGAAAUUGAAUGAGACAUAAGCAUAUUUUAGGAUUAGAUACAUUAGAUAUUAAAUGAAUUUAAAAAAUUGUUUUUUGUUUAUAAAUGUGAUCGGAGGAAGUACCGUAUUGUUGUUAAUUUCCUCAACAACAAAAGAGUGCACCUCUUUCAGAAGAAAAAAAAGCACCGCGAAUAAAUGUAAUGUCUGGGGUUCAAACAUCGUCCUCUGCAUAUAACAAUGUAUUACUCAUGCCAACUGAGAUAUGCUUAGAGACACCGUAUUGGUAAUGUUAAUAGGUAUCGUUGUGAUUUUGAAUUAUUAUUGUUAUAUUGAAGUUGCAUUCAUAAUUUAAAGUUUAACGAUUUAGCGACCAAUUUAUCCAUUUACUGUUAAUUUCAAAGGACAUUUUGCUCACAAAUGUAAAAUUUGAAGGGGGCAUUUGCACGUAGUUAUAAGGUGUGAACGAAUGUUAUUGUUAGGAAAAAAAUAUUUUUUUAAAAUAAAAAACAAUUACCCCGUACGAGUGGCAUAAUGUUUUAGACCACUGGCAUGCCACAUAAACUAGGGGUGUUCGUGGGUGGGUUUGGGUUGAGUUUGACCAAACCCAAACUCAAACCAAAUAGGGUACUCCGAUUUGGGUAAGGUAAAAUAACCACCCGUUAUACUAUUUGGAUGGGUUUGGGCAAAUCCACUAAUUUUUGGGUUGUGUUGGAUUGGGUAAUGGGUUACCCAACUUAUUUUUCUAUUUUUUAAUAUUAAAUGACUAAAUGACAAGUCCUUAUAACUUUUUUUGAAAAUAGUACUCUACUUUUUUAUUUUCUUAAAAAAAUAUUUAACUUAUUGUACUAUAAUUUUAUGCAUCAUAGAAUAUCAAAUAAUAAACUUCAUCAUAAAAUACUUGCAACAAACUAAAGUUGCAUGACAUAAAAUUGCAUUAGUAUCAAAAUAACAAAAAAGUGUAACAUAUUAAUUUGUAACUCUAGUAUAUUUUGAUUUUCAAUAUAUAGGGUAGAAUGUGUAUGUUUUGGAAAUAUAACUUUCUUCUACCCUAUGAAAAUAAAGAUAAAAAAUAUUAACAUUAUUGGGCAAGUGAGUUUUUUGGGUUUGAGUAUGGUUUUACUCGAAACCCAUUUAUUUUUAUGGAUUUUCCAUUUUUAAAAACCAUACCCACCCAAUUACCCAACUCAACCCAUUUUUUUGGAUUUUUUGAGUGAGUUUGACCGGAUUUUCUGGGUUGCCCCAACACAUAAACACCCCUAUAAAGAGUCAAUGAACACGUCAUAUUAACUAGUGUAAUAGAUAAAACUAUCGAAGCGGUGAAUUUACACACGUUUAAUAAUUUUAGGUUUUUUUUUGUCUUGUAAGAGUUUACAAUUUGAUGGGUUUUUUUAUGGCUAUUUACUCCUACAUAAAUAUUGUAAAUGUGAAUGGGAGGGAUGAGACAAAUUUCCAGUUCACACGUUUUCAGUGUAAUUGAGAGGCAUAUUGAAUGUGUUGGCCAAUUUCAAGUCAUCUUAGGAGUGAUGACAACUUAUCAUUUGUCUUUUUUUCCAAGAGAAGACAUUAAAGAUGAAGCAGGUUUGUUUCAAAGGAUUCAUAUUCAGAUGAGUGACUACAGUGCACUUCAUCCGAUCUCAAAUACAAAUACAAGUUGGUUAAAGAAGCCCUUGAUAUAUAGUAUAAAUUUGUAGUAUGAAACUUAUAAUGUUUUUUUUCUAAAAGCAUGAAAAUACAUCAUAAUUGUCCUCUGGUAUUUUUAUGUUCUAUGGUAUUUUUAUCUUAAAUAACUAUAUCACAUGUGAAACUUAGGUCAAGUGCACACAAUCAAUCCAUUGGUUAGGAUUUUAGAAGCAGAAUUUCACAUGAUCAUCUAUUUGAGAAAUAAGUGUGACCAUACUUUUAUCAUUCACAUUUGCACUUAUUUCACAUGUUUUUCCCCUACAAAAGAUAUGAAUGAGUUGCCCAUUCAUACACGUCUACAGAUGAGGCCAAAACUAAUAUCAAAUGGAAACUAGUUAGCAACCGGUCGUUUGGUUUCAAAUAUAAAUAACAAUAUGUCAAAAAAAGUUAAUGUUUUUUUGUCGUAAUUUUGAAAUAAAUAUGUUAACUUUCUCGAUAUUCAUUUCUUCAAAAAAAAAAAAAAAACUUUCUCGAUAUUCAUUACACAAUAUGCAGAGGAGCGAUUUCAAAUUUGUGAUUCUCAAUUUCUAUAUUGUAUGUUAUUUUUCACCGUUAGGCUAUUUAAGCGAAGAAAAUAUUAAUCAGAAGAAAAAUGAAAAUGAGAUUACAUCAUACAUUUCCUACCUUAUUCUUUUAUCGGUUUAUCCCCUCUUUCUUAUCGGGACAAGAGAAUCAUACAUAAAGAAGAAAUUGCAUCAAAACCUAAUCAUCAUAUUCUUUAUCGGUUUUAUUUGAAUUACUUUACAAAAAAAAAAAUUAAAAUCCAAAUCAAACAAAUUUGAUGCACCAUAUUUUUUUGUUUGAUUAGGAAGCUAAAGAGAAAGGAAAAAAGAAGGACACAAUUAAGCUCUAAGGAACCAUGUUUAUAUAGAGUCUGCAGAGAGAAGGUUCAUGAUCGGUUGAAGGAGAGUGAUGGACCAAGAGAUCAAUGCUAGAAGAAGCUCUCAGCUUAGUUAGAAAGUCUGCAAAACUAUUUUCUUCUCUGAGUGUUUGAGCAAUGCGAACAUGCCAACCUUGAUGAAUAAGAUCUUUGAUGUCGUGAAUUAAAGUAACAUAUUUGUGAAACCUUAGAGUUGGAAUUUGGAGAAUAUCAGUACAAUGAAGAGAAUAUGCGAAACAAGUUAUAUCAUGCACAUUUUGAUGCUUGGCCAACAAUAGUCCCUAAUGAAUAACAUGGAACUCAACAUGGAGGAUAUUAGAGGAUCAUGGAAGUAGCCCCAAGAAAUUAGAGAUUUAUUUCCGGUUGACAUGCCAUAUUUGUGCGAGUGAAAAUUAUCAUGUGGGGGAACGGAUCCUCUCAAUUAAUUUUCUCUUAUGUCUCUCAAUUGUUAUCAAUCUCAACAUUAAAAUUUUUUACUCAGUUUUUACAUUAAAAAUCAAUAUCAUCUUUGUUAAUUGAAUUGUGAGAUUGAUAAUAAUUGAGAGACACGAUAAUUUUUUUGAGAGGAUCCAUUCCAUCAUGUGGAUAGUGUGGUGUUGUGUAUGUAUUAGGUGAAGUCACGUGUGUAUUGACAACGACUAAUAAUUUUUAAUCAUAGCCAAGACUUUAAUAAAAAAAGGGAAAAUAAUUUUUAAAUACCCAACAAAUCAUUGGAGAGAUAUAAAUAAAUAAAAAGGUCGUAUUAACAAGUGUCCUUAAUAUUUUUUUUAAAAAGCAAUUGAUAAGUUUUAUGUAGAAAAAUAGUUUUUUUAUUAUAAUACAAAGUUUCAGAUAAAAUUUUCACUACAAGCUUCAUAAUAAUUACCUUUAGUGCAUUUGUUAUCAUUUCUCAUAAAAAACGGUCAUACUAACUUAUGCAUUUAUGUAGGUUACUAUGUGAUAGGCCGAAAAUGAAAUGUGGGAUAAAUGUACAAAAGUUAAGAGUAUUCAACUAAAUGCUUUAGAAAAGGUGUAUCGUACAUGUUUAAUAUUACCCCUCGUGUUCCAUCACCCUAUUAUUUUAGUUCUCCAUGAUAGAAUGAUGAUAUCAGAAAAUCGAAAACAAAUCUAGCUGUGAAGCAGAAGUACUAGUACUAUAUAAGCCAUUUUGAUAUCAAAGGUCCAUAGUUAGAAAUUGUUAUCAAGUGAAGCUAAAUUGGAAGUGAGUGGUAUCAAACUAGGAAGAUGGCAGGAACGGCAACAGUGAAUCUUCCAAUCAUAAACCUCUCCUCACCUGAUCGUCUUUCCUCAGCCAAUUCCAUCCGUCAGGUUUUUCUAUACUAAUUUUCUUUGAAUAAAAUAUUAGUUCAACGCUUGCGAAAUUAAUGCAAAUAUGUUUAAUAAUAUAGGCAUGUGUUGAGUAUGGUUUCUUUUACCUUGUGAACCACGGUGUGGACAAAGAUUUUAUGAAGCAAGCGUUCGAGCAGAGUGCAAAGUUUUUUUCACUUCCAAUUGAAGACAAAAUUAAAUUGAACCGCAAGGAGUACAGAGGUUAUACUCCUCUCUAUGCUGAGAAACUUGACCCUUCACUCUCCAAAGGUAUAUAUCUCUUUUCAAAAGACUAGCUACACUAGACCAAUGAAUAAGGUGUAAGUUUAAACUCAAUUACCAAAUCAGGAAUUAAACAAUGUGGUCCCUCCUUUAAAAAAAUGUGGUCCUAAAAUUACCUUAAUUUCAAAACAGAUGUAUGAGAUUGAUAUAUGAUAGACGCGGUCCGAUCCAUGACCAUAAUUUCAAAUUAACACAUAAAAAUUUAAAAUUCUAUAUCAUUAUGAUCUUUUGGACAAUUUUAAGGAUUUAAAUCUAUAAACUCAACAAUGAGGUCAAGCACUAAAGCUACUAGCAAAAAGUUAAGUCAUAUAAAAUAAAGAUAAAGUCUUUAAAAGAGGAACACCUUUUAUUUUAGAAGUUGGUUUUUUUAAAAAUGAGUUAGAUUCAAUAUAAAAUUUUAAAGAUAUUGAAGUUUAUCUAAGAUUCGUUGGAUCAACCAUCAUUUAUAAAACAUGAUCUAUAAAGCCCCAAAUACUUUAAAAUGGAGACGUACCCGUAUCAGAUAUCGAUACUGAUACUCGUAGUAUCGACCCCAAAUAUUUUUUUUAUUUGUAUGAGUAUGUGUAUUUUAUGUUUAGCUACCUCAAUAAAAUAUAUUUUAACUAUUUCAAAUAAAUAUAUUUGUCGAAAGUUAGGAUAAAUAAGAUGCUUAAAAGAUUAUCAAUUGUUUGAUAGAUUUAUUUGGUCUUAUUUCGACACUUUUGAUAUCUUAAUAAACUUCAAAGAAAACUUUGUUAGUAAUGAAAAUUGUAAGAACAAAGUUAUAUAAGUAAAAUUUGUGAGUAAUGAAAAUUGUAAAGAGAAAGCUACAUAAGUAAAACUAUAUAGUUUAUUUUGCUUAUAUAAGUAAAAAAUUUGUGAAAUUUUCUUCUCAUAGAUUACUUUUUUUUUACAAACUAAAAUGAUAUAUAAUAAACAACGAUGAAUCACUCCGCACAAGAUGUGUAAAAGAUGAUGCAACCAAAAGUAUUUACAAGGAAAGGUGCCAAAACAACAUAAGCGCCUUCAACAAAACAAGAAACUAGUGAACGCCCAUACACAGGAGAGGGUGUUUCCACCAAUCAUGAUAACUGUAACUAAAAAUUGCAUGUUUUGAUUUCAGCCAAAGAAAAGAAUUUAGCUUAACUUUUUGUAGGAGAGAAGAAGGAUUACAGGCCACAUUAUUAAAUACGCAGCUGUUCAUUUCCUUCCAAAUCACCCAAACAAAAGCAAACUAAAUUACCUUUAGAUGGAGAUGUGUAAAUCUAGGUAAGCCAUCCAUAUGAAUAAACUGAUUAAGGUGAUGUCGUGGUGAUGUCGAAGCUCACCAGGCAGAACUGCUGAAAUGCCUAGCCAACGUAACACUGAAGGCCAAAUAGAACUAAGAAUUUUACAUCCCAAAAACAGAUGUCUAGCCGUUUCCAAAUUACCGCAAGUUGCCGAACAGGUCGUAUCAGUUGCUGGAAUAACCCGCCGUCUUGCCAAAAUAUCUCAUGGAUUAAAAUUAAUAUAUUAAUUUAAAAAAAUAUUUUAUUUUAUUUUGUUAUAUUUAGCCACUUUGUAAAAAAUUGGUUAGAUUCUUCACUUAUUUGUAUCUUUGUUUUUCAUUAAGAAAAUGUUGAUUCUACAAUUGUUGAAUUUUAUGAAAACUUUAAUAUAAAGUUUUAUUACAAGCAGGUGAUCCAAAAGAGAGCUAUUACAUUGGCUCUUUGGAAGAUACCACUAGUGUUCGUUUGAAUCAAUGGCCUUCUGAUAGUAUGAAUUUCCUUUGUGCUCAUUCUUAAUUAGGAAUAAUGAAAAUUAGUUUCGUAUACAUGGUUUGUUUUUACAUAAGCUUAAUUACUUGAGGUGGGUUUUUUUUUUUAUUGCAUUGAUACUCCAGAAUUACUACCAAAUUGGAAACCCACAAUGGAAUCCUUAUUUUGGAAAACACUGUAAGUUUUAUUACCCUUCAAAUGUAUUUUUCUCUAAAUUAUUAAAUUUCAAUAUUCUUCUUAUGUUCCACAACAGGUCAGCUGGCAAAGAGUUGUUGUCUCUAAUUGCCUUGUCUUUGAAUCUUGAUGAAGAUUACUUUCAGAAGAUCAGUGCCUCAAACAAACCGGAUGCUUUUCUUCGCCUUUUGCGCUAUCCAGGUUUGUUAAUCAACGCGGUUCAAUUUUGCAUGUGAUCAAUUUGGCAGGCAGUAGUUCACUUCACAGUUCUAAUAUCAAUUUGAAAUACAUUAGGUGAAUUGGGAUGUUGUGGUGCCUCUGCUCAUUCAGAUUAUGGCAUGAUCACUCUCCUAAUCACCAAUGGUGUUCCAGGACUACAGGUUCACAUCUUUCCUUUAAUAUAGUUUAUGUUUAAAGUUAGUAUUUGUAUAAUUAAUGACUUAAACAUUCAUAUUUAAAGAUAUGCAAAGAGAAGUUGAAGCAACCUCAGGUGUGGGAGGAUGUGUCUCAUGUAGAAGGGUAAGUGCAUGUAUAAAAACUUUGUAAUACAACCACUUUUAAGUCUAUAUAGUAUAUAUGUUCUUUUUCUUCCUAGUGUUAGGUGAUUUAUGUUUGAAUAUGCAGGGCCAUAAUUGUGAACAUUGGGGACAUAAUGGAGAGAUGGACAAAUUGUGUAUACCAGUAAAUUCCAUCACUCAUUCACUUAAAAGUUAUUUCUUUUAUCAAUGUUUAUAUAAAUCAUUUCUGUCAUUACUCUUGCAGGUCAACCCUUCACAGGGUGAUGCCAACCGGAAAAGAACGCUAUUCUGUAAUUACUAGCCACUUCCUUGUUUGCUUUAUUUGAUGAGGUUUUCUAGUUCUAUAACAUGAUUUAAGUAUGCAUUUUUAGUAAAAUAUGAGUAGUGAUGUGCAAUUUUGCAGGUGGCAUUCUACAUGGAUCCACCUUCAGACUGUAUAGUGAAAUGCUUUGAAAGUUGCUGCAGUGAAUCAUCUCCUCCCAGGUAUAGAAAAGUUUUAACCAAUUAGAGUUUGUUUAACAAGCUAGACUGAAUUAAGAGUCUAGUAUGUGUCUAAACACACAAAAAAAUAUAAUAGAGUUCAAUUUCGAGUGUGUUAAAAGAAAAACGGUUAACUGGGAUGACCUAAUUAAUGUGUAAGAGAGAUCUUGUAAUAAGAGGAAUACUUGAUGGACCCGCUUCGUGUGCAAUUGGUGUUUGUACGAGUCAAAUUGCACGAUUGAAAUAUUUAGAAGAUCAAAAGUGCGAUUAAACUUCGUUAAGUGGGGCUCUUAAUUAAAUUUGAUUGCAAUAUGAGUCUCUUAUACCCUGAAGAAGAAAAGCUAAGGCAAAAACAAUUAUUAACAAUGUUGGAGAAUUUAGUUAGCUAGGAGUGACCAACAUUGGGUAUCAAGUCCCCUCACUAUAAAUUAUUGAAUUCUAUCUAUUCCAAAAGUUUUUCUUUACAUAGACUUCUAUGUGCAUACUUUGUAUUACAGUGAAUUUUCAGAAAUCAGUGUGAGGCACAGUAAUUUUGUAAAAGUUACAGAGUGUUGUUUUUACAAAAUCAUGAUGGCUCACGGUAAUUUCAACAAAUUCAAUAUGGUACCAAACAUGUACUAAACAACACAAGUUUACAAACGAAAGAGACACAUCCUUGCAAAAUCUACAAAGUAUAGCUUCACAAAAAUACAGUACUCAUCCACUAUAGUUAAGACAAACUUACUGUAAUUCUAAAUAUGUACCGUGUAAAUUGUAAAUCUCAUGUGCUUGCAGAAAGUCUUUUUUUUCUUUCUUGAUGGAACUAAAAGUGUUCUUUAUCAAUAUGAAAGUUACAUAUAAAUCUUAUUUUUAUGCGGAAGAUGCAAUAACUUUUUGUACAUUCCAUGCAGAUUCCCUCCAAUACGUAGUGCAGACUACUUCAAUGAGCGAUUCAAGCUCAUAUAUGGGUCUGAAAAGGAUCUUAAAUGGUCCCUUUAGUCUAUGAUCACCGAAGGAAUGCACUUUCUUUCUGAAAUCUAUAUCCGAGGGAAAAUGGGUGAUCCCUGACGAUUUUGGGGAAGAGGAAGAAGGUUCUGAAGAGGCAGAUGUCGAAGAGGAUGCAUGCUUAUCUUGCUUUUAGUCUCUUGUAUUUUGGGGAAAUAAUGUUAGAAUAUUUUCAGCCCUUUCGGUUCGCUUUUAAAUAUACAGUAAUCUUUCUCGAAUAUCUUUGUGUUUAACAUCCUUUGCGUGAAUAUUUUCUUUUCGUUGUUUUGUUUAAUGUUUUGUCAAGAGUAGUGAUUCCAUACAAUGAUGAUGUUUUAGCAUUACCUUCAGAGUAGUUUAUCCAAAUGUCUGUUCAGAGUUGUUUUGUUUUCCAAACAAGUAUGAUCUUGGCGGAACCUCUAAGGUUCUUUGUCCCAAGUGUGAAUAUCCCAUCCCAAGCUUGGUGUUCUACUUGAUGUACUAGUGGUGGUGGAGCAGUUGGAUGCUUCCUACCUCGUGGCGAAGGCUUAGUUCGUUAGGAGAGACUAGGCUUUACUAAGGGUCCGUUUGGUUUGAGAAUUAGGAGGGGAGGGGAGGGAUUUUAACGGAGGGGAAGGAAGGGAGGAUAUUUUAAUUAAGUUUCUUUGAGAUGGAUGAUCCAGUACGAGUUGAUUAAGCAAGAAGAUGGAGAUUGAAGACUAGUUCAAGGGAAACGAGGAACUAGAGUUGAAGAAGGAGCAAGGAUUUGAGUAAGGAAGACUUUAGGGUUUGCAUCUCAUCAUUGUUAUCAUAUCAUGGUAACAAAGAUGGGUUUCCUCUAUUCACUUAUAUAUAGAGUUUUUAUCUAGAGAGUUUUUAUCAAGAAUUGAUCAAGAAAAGGUUUAAGCCAAUUAAAUUUUCUGCUGGCAGGAAAUUAAGGGAGGUAAUGGGGUGUAAUUAAGAAAAGAUGUGGAGUAAUUGUACUGUCUAGAUGUUUUCGUGAAAAAUAGGCAUAUAAUUUGUAUAGGAGUUUAUAUUUAGGGACUAGAUAUUCUUUAAAUAGGCAUAUAAUUAGGGUAGGAGGUAGUAGUGAUUUUUAUUUAUUUGGCAUUAUUUACCAAAUAAGUCAACGAUAAUUUGCAUUCAUUAGUUUCCCAAUAUCACAUUGUAAUUUAGAGGAGUGUUAUUUGAACAACCAAUUUGGUGACAACUUAUUUGACAACCAUAUUUUACAAAGAAAAAAGUGGUAUUGGCACGGAAACCAUAGCAAUAGAGAGAUAAAGUAAAAAGUAAUGUGAGUAUGAGAGAGAAAGUUGUUGCAAAAGUUAUCACUAAAUGGAUGUUCAAAUAUCAUUUCUCUGUAAUUUAUGUAAAUUAUGCAGACAUGAAUGAAAGAUUAUUAGUUUCUCUUGUGAGCUGUCACCAAAACCCUAGUUUCUUCUCAUUCAAUGAUAAAGAAAAAGUAUAAAAAGUUAUCUAAUUUAGACAUAGUAUAGGGCGGAUGUAGCCAAGUAGAUCAAGGCAGUGGAUUGUGAAUCCACCAUGCGCGGGUUCAAUUCCCGUCAUUCGCCCAUGAAUCUAUUAAAUCUAGAGAAAAAAAGAUAAAAUAAUUUCGAAUAGAAUCUUUUAAAACAAAAAGAAAAAAGAGAAAAGAAUUUAUAAUAUACUCAUGUUGCAGCUGAUACUGCUGUUUUCUUGAUCCAUCAAAGAGGGGUUAUUUAGGGUCAAUUUUUGAUCCAAAAUCACCCCUCUAACUCGUUUUUCUCUUUCCCUUAUAUUGAAAUAAGAGAUUUUCACAUCUAUUUCGUUUUUUAUUUUGUGAUUUUGUCGUCUUUGUGCGAUGUUGGUUUGUUCGUCGUCUUUGUGCAACGUUGUUUGUUUUUCUUGUUUCUCUCAGCUAUUUGAUCGGUUCAGAUUGUCAAAUUAGCUUCGAUACAGUGCAAAUCCAAUCAAUGACUUUGGCGUCAUCCACGUUGCAGAUCUGGAGACAUGGUUAUUCCGGAGAUCUAAAUCUAGUCAUAUGUGUAGGCAUUUGUACUUUGUCGUUUAUGCUAUUAACAUGGAUGUUGUGAGCCUGUUCACAGAUUCAUCCUUUUUGUUUUUAGCGAAUUUGCAUUAUUUCGAUGUACUCUAUCAAUUUGAAUGAAUGAAUAUCUUUUAUUUUAUCAAAAAAAAUGAAUAAAAGAUUAUUGAAUCAUUUUCUUAUAUUUAUCGGUUUGAUUUGAAUUAAAUUUCGUAAAAAAGUAUUCUUUUCGGUCUUAUUUAUAAGAGACGUUUGUAUCAACAAAAAUUGAUGUGCCUGGUUCAAAAUUAAAUCAAAUACAUAGACUUUUGUUGACUAAAAGAUAUCUUAUAAAUAGGACUGAAUGAAGUAUUUUUUUUUUUUUUUUUGUAUAAAAGGACCGAAUGAAGUAUUUUAAAAGCCGAACCAAACAAAUCCCAUUCUCCAUGCACCAUGCUUGUGAGCUAUGAAGCCCACAUAGUACAAGUGCGGAUACGAUACAAAUACAAGGAUACACUAUUUUAAAAUUUAGGAUACAGUUAAAUAUGUUAACAAAAUCCUUAUAAUAAAACUAGGGAAAUGCUUUUUCUCGCGGGUAGGGUUGGGAAUAGGCCAGGCCAGGCUUUGAUAGGCCUGAGCCUGGCCUACGAAAAUUUUUGCAGGCCUGAGCCUGGCCUAUGGCCUUUCAUAGGCCUAUUUUUUUAACCUGACCUAUUUAAAAGUCUAGCCUGGCCUGAAAGCCUAUUUACAGGCCUACUUACUAUUAAAGUCAUUAAACAUUUCAUUUUAUCUACUUUUAAAUAGGCUUAAUAGGCCUCAAAUCCUAUUUCAGUGUAAGACUUGUCUAUCACUACUAUAAGGCCUUAAAAGCCUAUUUAACUAUAAAGCUUUAAAGCAUAUUUAAAAAGUCCACUAUGAAGUCUAACAUGCAUACACAGGCCGGCCUAUUAGGCUUCAUAGGCUUUUUUGAUAGCCUAAGCCUGACCUAUUUACUUAAAUAGACUUUUUAAAAAGCCUAAGCCUAACCUUUUUAAUAAACAGGCCAGGCCAGGCCAGACUUAAACAGGCCAGGCCAUAGGCCCCUGUAGGCCGGCCUGGCCUAUUCCCAACCCUACUCGCGGGAGAAUAUCAAGCGAAUAGAGCACGACAAUAGCUGAUUAGUUUUGAUUGGAGGUUUAUUUCUUAAUUUCCUUUUAUUUUCCCAACAAACACCUCCUUGUAUUCCGUCAAACAUCAAAUUGUGAUUGAUUAGUUUUGGUUCGGGAAGCUUUCACUAUAUUUUAUUUCACACUAUAUAGCAUCGCUCAUAAAACUAAUUUGCAUGUGACAUACUUUGAAAGAAAUGUUCAUUGACACUCUUCAUUAAAUAUAAUUAUAAAAAUCACAAUUAAAGAAAAAGUCAUAAUCUCCUUACAUUCAUCCAAAAUUCAAUAUGUAAAGUAUAUUCUUAGAGCAUUUCAACCAAAUUCAACAAAAUUCUUAUAACAGAUACACAUGUUUAAAUUGAAUCAUAUAUAUUUCAAGUAAAUUCUUAUAAAAUUGUCUUAUUUUUUUACCCUUCAUUUUUUAUAGGAUAUAUAAAGUAUCUUAUAACCAUCAUUAUGUAUAUAUAAAGUAUCCUAUAAACAAAAUAUCUUAUAAGAUAUUUUUAAAAAAAUUAAAAAAGUUAAUUAUGAUACUUCAUAGGUACAUAUCUACAUAAUAUCGAUAUCGAAUACACAUCUGAUACAUGCACGUCUCCAUCGUUGGAGUAUCAGGACUUCAUAACCUAUCUGUAAAGUGAAAUUAUUGUCACGUGGAUAUUGUGGUGAUGUGUGCGUGUAUUAGUGCCCAAUUAGUUUCCAUCACUUAUAUUUAAACACCUUUAAAUUUUGAUCAAAUUUGCACAUGUUAAGAAAUUUAAAAUUGUAAAUUUGUCUUAAAACUUAUGCAUUUUAUAUAAAAUAUAUAACUUAACAAAUAAUUUAUAUUUUUUAGUAACUUUUAUUUGUUUUAACAUGAACAAUAUACAAUAUUACACAUUUAAUUUUACACACUCAUUCUUUUUAUUUAUUUAUUUAUUUAUUUUUAUUACACGAGCAAUAUAUUAGCUUCGCGUAUUGUGUUUAAUAAUAUACCCCUCGUGUUCCAUCACCCUAUUAUUUUAGUCCUCCAUGAUAGAAUGAUGAUAUCAGAAAAUCGAAAACAAAUCUCUUUGGUACUGCAUUCUGGCGACAAAAAAUAUUUAUAAGAUACUCCCAAGUUUUCUUAGGGGAAGAUAUUCAGUUUUGUUUUAAUAUACUAUUUUAUUACUGUCGUUUUAAAAAAUGUAUAUUUUGUUAUAUUAAAUUUAUCUAGCAGCGUGUCAAGAUGCUCUGCUCAUUGAAAUUGUCCUCCGUUUGGCAUAGAAUCUCUCUUCUUAAGAGAUAAAUUUGGAACUUAAUUUUGACUCUCUCUUUUUCUUUUUGCCUCGUUACAUCGUAACACUACCAAAAAAAAUUAUCUAACGUGUGUCCUCGUAUACUUAACUUAGUAGUUGACAUUAACAAUGUAUAAUAAAAUUUAUCUAGUGUAAUAUAAUAAUAAUAAGCAUACCUAGAUGUGAACUAUUAAUACUAAAUAAAGAAGCAAUUGAAUUCAAUUUUUUUUUAACUCCGUCGAUGACAUAUUGUUAAGAAUAAUCUGAGUUUGAUUUUUAGUUGAAAUAAUUUUUGAUCAAAUUUUACUUUUCAACCGAACACUGGAUUAACAAAGAUAUUUUUUGUGAGAAAUGUUAACACUAAAAAAAUUACUAAUAUAAGUAUUUUGAAAUCAACUCAAUCAAACAACAAAAGCUCCAAAGCUAGAAGUUACUAUCAAGUGAAGCUAAAUUGGAAAGGAGUAGUAUCAAUUAUCAAACUAGGAGAUGGCAGGAACAGCAACAUUGAGUCUUCCUAUCAUAGACCUCUCCUCACCUGAUCGAAUUUCCACAGCCAAAUCCAUCCAUCAGGUUUUCUAUACUGCUAUUAAUAAUUAAUUAGUUCAACACAUCCAUGCAUAUACUGUGUUUCAAUAUUGAUAAUAAUAACUAAGAAAAAUUUAUAGGCAUGCGUUGAGUAUGGUUUUUUUUACCUUGUGAACCACGGUGUGGACGAGGAUUUUAUCAAACAAGCAUUCGAUCAGAGUGCAAACUUCUUCUCACUUCCAAUUGAAGACAAAAUUAAAUUGAACCGCAAGGAGUAUAGAGGUUAUACUCCUCUCUAUGCUGAGAAACUUGACCCUUCUUCACUAUCCAAAGGUAAUUGGAGACACUUAUUUGAGUUGUCGGACACCGGACACAUGUACAAGGGGUGUCUAAGGUGUAUUGAAACAAAGCAAAAACAAAUAAUUUUUUUUAGGACAUUUAUCUAAAUUCCAGAGGUGUUUGUGCUUUAGUGUCUAAAUUUGUUGAAUUUUCUGAAAGAUAGAAAAUUUUAAUUUGAUAACUUGUAUUGUAUUAUAAGCAGGUGAUCCAAAAGAGAGCUAUUACAUUGGCCCUUUAACAGAUACCACAAGUGUUCGUCUGAAUCAAUGGCCUUCUAAUGGUAUGAAUUUCCUUUGGGUUGUGCACAUUCUUCAUUAGGAAUAAUGAAAAUUAAUUUUGUGUUCUGGUUUUAUUUUUUUACAUGAGAUUAAUUACUUGAGGUGUUUUUUCUUUCUUUCCGGCAAUGACACUUCAGAAUUACUCCCAAAUUGGAGACCCACAAUGGAAUCCUUAUUUUGGAAAAUACUGUAAGUUUUAUCAACUUUCAAAUAAUGUACUUUUCUGCAUGUUACUAAGGCCCUGUCUACUCAUAGUAUAUGUUUGACUAUACCAAGAACUUUGCUCUUUUUUUUUCCUCUUUGCGAGUGUAUUGCUUGUGUCAGUUUGAGCAUUCAAAUUUACAUUCUUUUCUUUUUUCUAUUGUUAAAAAACAGUUUUGAAUUUAAAUAUUCUUCUCAUGUUCCACAGGUCAGCUGGCAAAGAGUUGUUGUCUUUAAUCGCCCUGUCUUUGAAUCUUGAUGAAAAUUAUUUUGAGAAGAUCAGUGCCUUAAAUAAACCAGAAGCUUUUCUUCGCCUUUUGCGCUAUCCAGGUUUAUUAGUAUUUAUUUUAUUUUCUGAACCUUCUUAAUUAAGCACAUAGCCUAAUCGGUAAUACCAAUUUUGUUUGCCUUUUACUGUUGAUAACGUGUUUGUAAAUUACAUUAGGUGAAUUGGGACCUAAUGAAGAGAUAUGUGGUGCCUCUGCUCAUUCAGAUUAUGGCAUGAUCACUCUCCUAUUAACCAACGGUGUUCCAGGACUGCAGGUUCUCAUAUUGAACCUUAACUCCUGUUUAAAGUUAGUAUUCACAUAAUUUUGUUUUGAAGACGCGUAUUAUUCACAUUAUUAAUGACUUAAGAAUUUAUAUUUAAAGAUCUGCAAGGAGAAGUUGAAGCAGCCUCAGGUAUGGGAGGAUGUUUCUCAUGUAGAAGGGUAAGUUCAUGUAGAAGAACUUUGUAAAUAAUAUGUUACCACCACGUUUAAGUCUAUAUGCUUUUCCUUUCCCUUCUAGUGUUAGGUGUUUUAUGUUUGAAUAUGCAGGGCCAUAAUUGUGAACAUUGGGGACAUGAUGGAGAGAUGGACAAAUUGUUUAUACCGGUAAAUUCCAUCAUCUAGCAACUUAUAAUACAUUUCUUUUAUCAACUGUUUAUAUCAUAUCAUUCUUAGUUUCUGCUAUUACUCUUGCAGGUCAACACUUCACAGGGUGAUGCCAACAGGAAAAGAACGCUACUCUGUAACUAUUACUAACCACUUCUUUCUAGCCAUGACAUUACACAUUUCGCUUCUUUGUUUUCAUUUUGUUGGCAUGUUUUCAUAUACUUUUCCAGCGAAAUAUGAGUGGUAAUUUUGUACUUUUGCAGGUGGCAUUCUUCAUGGAUCCACCCUCAGAUUGUGUUGUGGAAUGCUUUGAAAGUUGCUGCAGUGAAUCAUCUCCCCCCAGGUAUAGAAAAGUUUUAUCGAAUUUUAUUUUAGUUCAAUUUUGACUGUGUUAAAAGCAAAAUGGACUUGAUAUAUUUUCAAAAUCCUGUGUCUCUCAACAAACAAAAUCUUUCACUUCUUUUGUGAAACGUUAAAAGUUCAUAAUCUAUUCGUUUUUUAGUACACAUUCGAUUUCCAAAUUCCGUAGCCUAUGUGAAUUUGGGGAUUAGUUGCACUGACUUCUGCUAGCUUAACAAUGCCAGCAUGUAACAAGAAAUGAACAUUCGCGUGCCAAAAACAUGCUUCUAAUAGUUGAUAUGUGCAGUCUCGUUGUUUGACCACUUCGGCAUCUCACACUGGUUGUACAACUCGCCAACUUAGACUCACAUUGAUCACAUAGGCUACGAGCAAUUGGUAUUUGUGUGACUAAAAUAACACAAAAAGAUCAAAAGUGUAAUUAAACCUUGUUAUAAAGCGAGGGGCCCUUUCCUUAUAUAAGAAACGUUAACUAAUGACAUGGCAUUUUCUUUUGCUUUUGCCCAAAAACAAAAAAAACUGAUGACAUGGGAAGAUGCCAUAGGGACAUAGAUAACCUUAAAAGUUACUUUUAUUGCAAUCUGAGUCUCCAAUAGCCCCGAAGACGAAAAGCUGAAGCAAAAACAUUGUUUUAUUUUAUUUUGGUCAAGUAACCUAGUGGCUAGAAUUCACCUUUUUCAAGGUAAAUAAGUGGGGUGUCCAGGUUCGAACCCCGGCCCCUGCAUAUAAUAAUGCAUGUCCCUGCCAACUGAGCUAUGCUCACGGGGACAUUUUAUUAGCAUUGUUGGAGAACUUUUUUUUUUUUUUUUGACAAAUCAUUGUUGGAGAACUUAGUUAGCAAGGAAUGACCAGCAUUCGGUAUCAAAAGUUAAUCUUUAAGAAAAGUUGGGGGCAACAAUCUUUAGUUAAAUUUAGAAAAGUUCAUCUUUAUCUUUGUUUUUUGGCACAAUAAAUCUUAAACUUUACGUAGGCUACAAAUAAAUCUUAGUAUUUUUAGUUUGUACACUUAAGAGGUUAUAAGCUUUUGCAAUGUUCUCUUGCAGAUUCCCUCCAAUACGUAGUGGGGACUACUUGAAUCAGCGGUUCAAGCUCACAUAUGAUUCAGAAAGAGAGCUCAAGUGCUCCUUCCAGUCAAAGAGCUGAAGUUUGUGCAAACAUUCAUUUGGUUUCAACCAAAUUUAAAUACAUGUUGCAUUUUAAUAAAGUUUUCAAAAUCUGGUCUAUGACUAUUGGUUGUUGUCAUAUCAUAUCAAGAAUUUAUUAUGAUAUUGUUGUUGUUUUUAUAAUAGUUGGACCCGAUGGAUAAAUAGCUUAUUUAAGUACUUAUGCAUUAAGUGUUUAUUUCUAAAGAGUUUACAUCACAUAUGCUUAAACUUAAUAAAUUAUGUGUGUUUGGAUUAUAUGUGGAAAGAUACUCAUACAAAGUUAAAGUGUGUCGAUGUAUUUGAUGUUAAAUUCAUACCUAAAAACACAAACUCGGACGAGUAUAUGAGUUAACAUUCUGAGUUUGAAAACAAUCAUCUGAAUCUUAAAUCUCUUUAUUGUCAUAAGUCGUAACAAACAUAAUACAAGUGUCCUAGUACACCAAAAAAUGUUACAUUGUUUAAGAAUUAAGAUGAAAUGCAGUUUAUAAGCAAUAGUCAUCGACUAACUAUUGAGAUGCCUCUUCUUCAAAAAACUAUUGAGAUGCCUUUUACAAUUGACAAAAUUGUAAGUGCUUCUACAUUAGACUCAAAGUGGACAAUACAUUGGAAAUGUGAUGCCGUGGACUUGGGUCAGAUCAUUGGCGCGUCACUAAACUUAGGGGGGACUGAGUUGAAAGUAUAAUUUAGUGAAGAAAAGUAAAUUUUUAAAUGCACAACAUAUACAAGAUAUUUAAGAAAUUAUAAGAUAUAUUCAAAAUUAAUAUAUGUUUUAAAUUAUAAAAUAUUUCAAGAACAUAAGAAAGUUGAGUACCUUAAGGUUUGCCAGAGAAUGAUAAAACUAAAGCGAUUUUCAAAUAGCAGAGAAAAAUAAUAUGAAACAAUGAGAAUGCAAAUAUAGGAAGAUGAAAUCACGACUAAUGAAUCGUUUGUUAGUGAUUGUUAGCGGUUCCUCACUUUCUGAUUUGCUGUUAAGGAUAGAGAAAUUAAGCUCAUAAACUUAAGGUCCAUUAUAUUGAAUCUAACAAAAGGGUCAUUAUACAAUAUCAUAUGAAGUUCACAAAAAAUAAAUAUAUAUCAAAAAGUAUAAUUGCAUAUUAGCGUUUUUUUUUUUUAAAAGCUCGGGGGACCGUGGCCUAUGUUGGUCCCCCUUCUAGCUUCAUCCCUAGCAUCAUGUGGAGGUUGAACUUAUGUCACUCUCUGGUAGAAUCGUUAGCUCCUUAACUCUAUGUCUUUGACCGGAUGCCACAUAUUAUUCUAAAUACAGCAAAAAGUUGCAUAUUAUUUGAGAAUCGAGACUAAAUAUAGUUUACAAAUAGUGCUCCUCUAUCGCUGAGACGUCUUUUAUAAAUGACGAAGCCUUAACAUACAAUAUUGCUCUUGAGGUUGGAACUUGGAACAAUAACAUAGUAAGUAGUAGUGGGAGGUGGGGAGUCACAAUCGAAUAUCUCGAGAUUUGCCUCUAUAUUUCUAUAUUUAUAUCAAUGAGUCAACAAAAUUAAACCUCCAUAGUUAAAGAUUUACUAUCAACAGAAGCUGAACUGGAAUUAGUAUCAGAUAAGGGAAAGAAAUGGCCAUGACGGCAAAAUUGAGUCUUCCUAUCAUAGACCUCUCCUCACCUGAUCGUCUAUCCACAGCCAAUUCCAUCCGUCAGGUUUUUCUCUACUAAUUGUUUAUACUAUUACUAGUAUUAAUUAGUUCAACACUAGAGAACUCUCGAUGCAAAUAUUAAUAAUAAUUAAAAUUUAUAGGCAUGCGUUGAGUAUGGUUUCUUUUACCUUGUGAACCAUGGUGUGAAUGAGGAUUUUAUGAAGCAAGUGUUUGAGCACAGUGCAAAGUUCUUCUCACUUCCUCUCCAACACAAAAUGAACUUGAUCCUAGUCCACUUUCCAAAGGUAUAUUCUUAUUUUUAGAUAUUUAUUUUAGUUCAUAAAUUAUAGACGUUAAAUUAAUAUUCAUAACCAUUUUCUAAAUACAUGACCAAUUUUUCUUAUAACAUUAGAGAUUUAUAUGUUUGGAUACUCCACUUCUAUUAUUAUAGAGAAAUGAUAUUUGUACAACUAUUAUGUGACAACUUUUGGAAAAUUUUAUCUCUUAUACUCACAUGAGAUUUCUAUUCUCUCUCUUCCUUUUUCUCUCUCCAUUGUUUUUGACCAAUAAGAAGAGAGAAAAACAAAGUUGUCACCAAAAUUAUCAUCAAUUAGAUAUACAAAUAUCACUAUUCAUUAUUAUACUAGUAGUUUUUAAGAGCAAGAUCUAAUAAUAUCCAAAUUAUACUAUCCUCUGCUCUUUUUGGACACAUCUGCACCUCUAUUUUUAUCUCUGCGGUUCUUGUGGAGAGGAUUGACCAAUUGAUAUUGCUUUCUACCUAAUUAUUUGUCUUUUUUGAUGAAAGAGAGCUCAGUAUUUUGUAUUUUUCCACUUUAUUAUUAUUAUUAUACUUGAAAUUCUCCAAAAUGCAAAAAUAAAAGUUAAGUUGAUAACGUUUCUUUGUUUGAGAGUUUGGAAAGAAUGGGAAAGAACGAUUUUGGAGGGUUAAAAAUAUAGAGAAAAAUGGUAAAAUCUUUUAUAUUUUUUAAACGAGUAAUUUUUUAAAGAAUGAUAGAUUAAUGUUUAUGAUUAAUAUAUUUUUAAUUUUAAGAAUAUUAUAACUUCGUAGAUUAAAUUUGAAGAAUUCAUGUAAAUCAUCUUUCAAUACAAUUUUUUGGUUCCCCAAAUUAUGAGACUUUUGUCCUAUGAAGAAAAAUGAACCCCAAAAGUCUUUCCCUCUUAAUGUCAUCUAUUUCUUCCACUUUCUCUUUCCUUUAUAUCCAAACUCCUCCCCCCUUCCUCUCUAAACUCGAAAACCAAGCCUUAGGAAAAUAGACGCAUUAUAGACAAUAAUAUUGUUUUAAAAAUAUUAUUAUAUUUACUAUGUAUUUAAAUGAAAGUGUUUGUUAAAUAGAGAUGAUCAAUCUCAUAAUUGAUUCCAUCUUGAGAGACUAUAAUGACCCAAGAUAGGUCCAAGAGAAUAUAAUAGCCAAGCUAAAUAAAGAUUAUGAUGAGUUAAUUGCAUAUAUUUUAGAGAUUAGUCAUCAUGUUCUAGAAGAAUAUAGAGAUAUCAUUUGUGAUGAGUCAUUAGAAUGUCAAUGCUAUAAAUAGUGGGUUGGUCAUUGUAAUCCUUAUCAAAUGAAUGAAUGAAAAAAAUAUUUCAUUUGUUUCAAAAUGAGUGUCAUUUUAGCUAACAAAAAUUGUUUCAAAAUAAAUCUCACUUUCAGUUUUCAAUACAAUAAUAACUUUUUCUUUUCAAUUGUACUCUUCAAUUAAUAUUAUAUACACUACUCCCAAAAUAUUAUUUAUUCUUCAAUAAAAAACAAACAAAUAGUUGAUUAGGAUAAUUUGGUGAAAUAACAUUUCUAUUUCUUUUAAUUAAUACAUUUUUUAAUAUGUGUGUAAAAACCUUAAACGAUAUUCAUUUUAAAAUGGAAGGAGUAGUUUGUUAGAAUAAUAUAGUCGUAUUUUUUAGUCCCUUUUAAAAAUAAUUUUCCUCCAUUAAUGAACAACCUCAAAACUUGUUCAUAGCAAAGACUCAACCACAAAGCUAAAGUUGUUGUGUAAACUAUCUACAAAAGUGAUAUAGAGCGAGACUUGUAUUAUUCUAACAAACUCAGAGUCUUGAAUUUGUCACUAAUUUCACACAAAAAAAACUGUUUAAUUUUCUAAAAGAUAUAAAUCCUUUGAUCAGUCCUUCUAAUUAAGCAGAUGAUCCAAAAGAGAGCUACUAGGUACAUUGGUCCUUUAACAGAUAAAACUAGUGUUCGUCUGAAUCAAUGGCCUUGUGAUGGUAUACAUUUUCUUUGUCCUCAUUUUUUCUUUUCAUGCAAUGACACUCUAGAAUUACUGCCAAAUUGGAUACCCACAAUGGAAUCUUUUAUUUUGGAAAAUACUGUAAGGUUUAUUACCCUUCAAAUUAAUGUCUUGUUAAUUAUCUGCCUCAGGUCAGCUGGCAAAGAGUUGCUUUCUCUAAUUGCCUUGUCUUUGAGUCUAAGAUGAAAAUCACUUUGAGAAGAUAGGUGCCUUAAGCAUACCAAAAGUUUUUCUUCGCCUUUUGCACUAUCCAGGUUUAUUAAUUAGCAUUUUAUUUUUUUUAAAAUGGUACACAAAACUUAAAUGACUAUUAUUUUGAGACGGAGAGAGAGUAUAUUAAUCUAAAGUUUUUUCUGCCGUACUUUAUUAGUAGAGUCAAGUUUUUUUACCAUUUUUUUUUUUUAAAGAAAACCAACUAAUAUAAUCUAUGUAACCUUUUAUAAUGUGAAUUAUAUCAGGUGAAUUGGGAUCUCGUGAAGAGAAAUAUGGUGCCUCUCCUCAUACAGAUUAUGGCAUGAUCACUCUCCUAUUGACCAACGGUGUUCCAGGACUGCAGGUUCUCAUCUUCUCUUUAGUAUUACUUUUUGUUCUAGAGCUCCUCAUAUAUAUCAUAUCAUAUGAGAAAGGAAAUGGAGUUUCUUCUUCUAUGGCCCUGUAUUAGGAUUCACUAAUUCAGACUACAUAGGAGAAUUGGAUUUGAAACAAAGGAAAUAGUAAAAAUAAACAUAAAAGAACACAAUUUCAGGAUUAGAUACUCGUGUGCCGUAUUUUCUUGCACCCUGAUUUUGUAAGGGUUGAGUCUAACUCGACACAAAUUUUAAAUUGGUACGAAAGUGAAGGGUUGAAUUAAGUUCAAACCAAAUUCUAAGACUCACCUAGGUUAUAAAUCUCAUGGCUUAACCUUUCCUUACAAUUUUGGAGUGAAUCUUCUCCCCCAAGGUAGAGUAAAAGUAUUAUCCAAUUAGUUUGUUUAACUAGUCGACUAAAAUAAUAAGAGUCUAACAUGUGUCUAAGCACACACAAAAAAUAUACACGGAGCUCAACUUUGAGAGCGUUAAGAGAAUAAUAUACGGAAAAUGCUAUUUCUCUAAAAAAAUAGCAUCAAAAAUUAUUCAAGACACACAGUUGAUAAGUUUUAAUUGCAUGAUUUAUUUGUUCAUUUCAUAUGUUAUUUUUCUAAAGAUAUAGCAUUGCUCAUAAUAUACUAGCAAGUAGCAAUACUUUUUUUUUUAGAGAAGCAAGUAGCAAUACUUGUAUGGUCACAAAUACAAAUGUUUUGAAUUUAGUCACACUCAUAAAACCAUGAAAAGUAAAGAUAAAAUAAUUGACUUUUAUUAGUAUUGUUGAUAUUUCCUCUUCUACUUUUAUUUAUUAGCGAGUGUGCAUAAAUCCAAAACAUUUUUUUUCUGUGGCCUGGGUAUAGAAGUGUUGCUCUUGAUAGUUUUAUCUUUAUCUUUAUUGAAAGUUACUUAUAAAUAAAUCUUAUUUACAUGAAAAUAUUUUGUCAAAUGUUUUAUGCAGGUUCCCUUCUAUACGUAGUGGGGACUACUUGAAUGAAGGGUAUAAACUUAUAUACGGUUCUGAAAGAGAUCUUAACUAAUGCUUCAUUCAGUCAAAGAAAUUAGCUACACUUCCCUGGGCACAAAAUUAUCAUGUUUUAGAUAAGUUUUAGAGUGUGUUUGGAUGGGGGAUUGUUUUGAGAGAAAAUAAUGUUUUUGAGGGAAUUCAACCACUUUAAGGUGAAUUCUAUUGUUUAAAUUCACCUCAAAAUAAUUGAAUUCCUUCAAAACAUUACAUUCCCUCAAAAUAUUCCUCCAUCCAAACACACUCUUAAGAUAUUUGCAAUAUAUAUUUUAUCUGUCGACGUUAAGUUUUGUGAAAUUAUUUGCAAGAUCUUAUGAAAACGGCUUACGUUUUCUAUUUUCAGUUUCAAAAAAUAUGUUCAUUUUAAUUUGCUAACAUGAUCGAAGAUCGAUGCGAGUCUCUUGAGUUGAAUCGUUGUAAACGAUGAGAAAUGAAAUGUUGCUUAGAAUGUAUUUCAGAAAAUAAUAUAUAAACUAUUCUUUUAACAUUUUCAUUGUUCCAUGAAAUAUAGAUAAUUGUUCACUUUGAGAGUCUCUUAUUCCCUUGUUAACAAAUAUUCAGAUAUCAAGAUCAAGUAAAACUGUAAAAACUUGAAUAUACAGUAACUAAAAGCUAUGUAAACCACAAGUUAAUCUAUAAGAAAAGGUGGGGAUAUUAAUCUUUGGUCCUUUACUUUGGACUAAACAACAUGAGUUUAAAAUAACAACAAUAACCAAGUCUAAUUUUAUUAAAUGGAAUCAGCUACAUUGAUCGAAUAGGUCAUAAUGUUAUAUCAUAAAUUAUAUAUUUGGAUCAAACUCGUUAAUCUGAGUUUAGAAAUUAAAAAAAAAAAACAUUUUUAUCCCGUAAAGACAUCUGAGACAUGUAAAAGAUUACGAUGAUAUUUGAUGUGUUUGGAUUAUUGUUUUAAAUCACAAUAUCUAUUUUCUUCUCAUUUGGUGUUUUUGAGUUUAAGCAUUAAUUAAGCUCUCUAUAUAUAUUAUAUAUAUUUCUUAUUCUUAUUGAAAGCUACGUAUAAAUCUUAUUUUUACACAUCAGAUGUUGCAAGCUUUUGUCAAUAUUUUCUGCAGAUUCCCCUCAAAUACAUAGUGGGGACUACUUGAAUGAACGGUUCAAGCUCACAUAUGAUUCUGAGAGGAAUCUUAAAUGCUGCAUGUAGUAAAAAAAAACUAAAGUUUGUACGUCCCUAUGUAUAUGGCUAAUUCUUGUUUGUGUAACACAGAUACGUCGAUCUAUGGAUAAACAAUUUACUUUGGAUAAACAAUUUAAUAUUAUGAAAUAUAAGUGUUUAUUUAUAAGGAGGUUCGACUUCACUUGGUUUACUUUACUUUAUUUAUUAUUAUUCAUUUACGAAAGAAAUAAGCAUAAUAAUAAAUAAGGGUGUAAAAUUAAACUUUCAAUUAAAAUUAGAGGUAAUAACGAGUCAUUGACAUUGCCGAGUAUAAGCUCUUAUUCUCUUUUCUUUACUUUAUUUAUUUAUAAUAUAGGUGCAAUCAGUGGCGUUGCCGGGACCCAGGGUCAGGAGGUUCAAAAUUUUAAACUUUAAUUUAUAAUAAAUAUAAUAAUAUAUAUCUAAAAAAUUACAUUGUAUUCAAUUUACAAUGUACUCAAAAAACUUCAUCCAUUCUUUACAAAUGUCCCUUACGCGGUGCCAUCUUCUGAAAUCGUUGAAUAAUCAACUCAUCAUCAAUUUUGUCCGCCACAUCUCUCUCAAUAUAAGUCACGAGACAAUCAUUCAUCCAAUCAUCUCCCAUUCGAUUACGCAAUCUAGACUUCACAAUCUUCAUAGCAGAAAAGGCUCGUUCAACGGUUGAUGUGGCAACGGGCAAAAUCAUUGCUAACUUCAAAAGUCCAUAGACUAAAGGAUAAUCAAUAUGUUUUUUGAGUGCAACCAUUUUUUUUUUGAAAGAUCACUUAUUCCUUUCAAAGAUGCAAAUUCAACACUCCUACGCAUAUCAAAGAUGUAAGUGUCAAGUUGACUAUCAAGCAACACCAAUGAAGUUGGAGAAAAUUCAAUUGGAUAAAACUUUGCAAAUUCAAUCAACUUUGCUUUGUCAAAUUUAGAGAACGAGUUGUUUGGGCACAUACUCUCCAUACAAAUGAGCAACCGACUAUUUGUCUCAUUAAAACGAUCAUUAAGUUCUUGAAGUUGCAUGUCCACAACCGUAUAAAAUAAUUCAAUGCGGUAAUGAUUCCCUAUUGUGAUAGAUUCAGCGUUACCUCCACGUAUUGACUUUCCACGGAAGAAUAUAUCAUCCAUGCUUGGAAUGUUAAUGUCAUGCUUAUUGCCAAAUAAAAUUACCUCCUCCAAUAAAGGUUCCCAUCCAUCAUCUCUUAGAGCUUGUAAUCGCUCCUUUGUGAUGCUAAUUAGGUUCAUAGCAUUGACGAUGUCUUGAUCUUUCCUUUGCAAUGCUUGUGACAAUUCAUUUGAAAAACCUAAGACCUUUUUCAUUAAAUGCAAUGUGAGUGCAAAAUCAAAAGUAUUCAUGAGAAUUAAAAGACCUUUUGCUUCACCUCUUCCAUCUUUAAUUGAUACAUCAUCUCUCAACAUUUCAAGAACAUCAGUUAUAGAACUAUACAUCAAUAUCAAGUUCACCAAACACAAUAACAAACUUUAAGAUUCAAUGAGUAUGAAAUAAAAAACAACAUUCUUUCACAUUUUCAUCUAGUGCUACCACUCCUUUCUUACCAUCCAUCCCCAUUAGAGUAAAACAAUGUCACACAGAAGCUCACUCACUAUUAUAAUGAAACAUGAUAAAUUAGUAGGAUUCAAACAAAGUAGAAUAACAUGAUUCAAACAAAUUAGUAGGAUUCAUAUUAGUUUCUUGGUUUAAAAAUCAAAACAGAAGCUCAUUCACCAUGAUUCAAACAAAGCAACAUGGAAAUGAAACACACAAGUUGAACAAAUAGAAUAACAUGAUAAAUUAGUAGGAUUCAUAUGUUUUUUUGCAUUUUGAACAAAUUGAACAGAUACUAAAAAAUCUGAAGCGAACCAUUUACAACAAAAAAACCAUGAGUGUUAAAUUGCCACUUUAAAACAAUUCUCCAAUCAAUUUCACAACACAGACAUAUCAUUAGGACCCUCAAUUGCAUAUUCAAUCAACCAAUUUAUCACAAUUGAAGUCAUCUAAAAAAAAAAUCCAAAUUUCAAAACCCUAAACCAAAGAUUUUUAAUUGAUUACCUUGGUGGUAGAUUCAAUGUCUUUGAAAGCUUUUGAAUGUCCCUUUGCGGUUGCACGACGGCGGAGGACGGCAAAAUAAGGUGGAGACGGUGGUGAUUUAUUGCAACUGAUUUUUGAGAUGGAGAGAGAACUAAAACGUGAUUGUAGAUGGUAGUUGAAAGGUCGCGAGAGUGAAGAUAGAAUGGGUUGGGUGGUGGCGCGGUGGAGUUUGGUGGUGGUUCUGCCGCCGGUGUGGUGGAAGUGGAGGAAGAAGGGUUUUCUAAGUUAAGAGAAGAUAGUUUAGAGAGAAGUUAAAAUGUGUAAAUGAGUGAGUGAUGGUGGUUUGGGUCAGCUGGUGCAAAGAAAAAAUAUGAGGAGGUUCAAAGUGCUAAAAACAUAGGGAUAUAUGUGAAAAAAUUUAAUUUUGAGGGUUGGCAAGUGCAUCCCCUCAGCACUAUGUGCCUCCGCCACUGGGUGCAAUAGUUGAAGAUUGCAAAAGACUAACAUCAAGUAUCAUUACUUUAAAUUUUUUAAAUAUUUACCGUGUUGCGAAUCAAGCGGCUCAUUUCUUAGCUAAAUUGGUUAUUAUGUCUCUUGUGAAUUUGUUUGUGUUGAUGAAACCCCUCCUUAUAUUUAUGUUAUUGUGUCUUUUAAAUUUAUCGUCAUAUUUCAUUAAAUAAAUGUAGUCAUUUUAAAAAAUAAAUCAUCCCAAAAUUUGGUAGCUUAACCGCACAAAAUGUUAGAAGAGGUGUAUCACAUGAACUUUCCAGAAGGUCAGUUGUUUGACCAGCUACCAUAGAAAAUAAAUAAAUUUAAAACAAAAAAAAAAAUCGCAUAGUCAUUAUUCGAUUGUAUGUAUUUAGAUAUAUUUAACAUUUACUCCAUCCGUUUCUUUUUAAGUGUCAUUUUAAGGUUAAUUUUUUGUUCUUAUUUAACUGCAUUUUGGUAUUUUAAUGGUACGAUUUGUCAAUUACUCAUAUUUUUUUCUUUGUUUGGUUACUCUUAUCUUUUUUAAUAAAAUUAAUUAAUGUUAUAUAUUUGAAAAACUAAAGUUUUUUUUUUUAAACUAAGUUUUUUUUUUAAAACAAAAUUUGUUUCUUGUUAUCUUCAGAUUUAAACAAAUGUAAAGAGAUAAAUAUUGUACACGUACCAUUGUUGCUCUUUUCUGUAUGCUCUACUAAGUUAUCUUCAUCCAGUGUGGAUCUAGCAUUGGUUAAAGCCAUAGUUGAAGCCUUAAUUUUGAUUAAAUAAGUUUGAGGACAGAUAAUUUUUUUCUUAGCUUUUUAUUAAUGUGAAGUUGGAAUAAUUUUUAUAUUGACUUAAAUUAAUUAAAGAGUUGUGCACAAUAUUUCGAAAAUUGACAAUUGUUUGUUAUGAGAAGGAGUGUGUAAAAAAAAUUGUUGGAGAAAAAGAUAGUAAGUAACAAAUGUUUGUUACGAUCUAAAAAAAAAAUGUUUGUUAUGAAAAAAUAUAACAUAUUAAAUUUAUUAGAAAGAUAAAGUGUGUGCCAAAAUAUAUAAAUAUAUUGGUGGAUUAAAUUGAGGGUAUAAUAGGAAGAAAAUGUGCAAAAAUACACUUUGCUAUUUUUCGUGGAAAUUUUUUAAAAUGACACUUAAAAAGGAAUCGAGGGAGUUGUAUUUUUAUAUAAAUUUGAAAAAAUGCAUCACUAUAGUAAAUAACAUUCGCAAACUCAGAGUCAACAAUAAGUACUUCAUUGGACACAUCUUAAAUAUAUUCGGUACCACUGAUUUCAUGGAUAGCUUUGCUCUUUUAUUUUUAUUUUUAUUCAUAAACACAUUGAACUUUGGUUGGAUAUUGAUACUCCGUGACAAAAUUCAUUCAAAAUUUAACCUUUUUUUUUUUUUUUUGGUCAGGCAAAAUUUAACUUUAUUUUAAAAUAAUUAAAACAGAAAAUAUGACAUGACAUUAAAUAAUUAAAUGAUAGAUAUGUAUCUAAUUAAACUCAAAGUACUAUUGUGUUCAAUUCUUUUUUAACAAUGGAUGGCUUUGCUUUUAAAUCUUCUUAGUAGGGCUUUGAAAAUAAAUACUGUAAUUGGAGAAAUGGUGGUAAAAACGACCUUUGGAGUGGGAUAACUAAUAAUAAGGUGGAUAAGCAUUCACAAUCCUCUUUUGUACCAAAAAAGAUAGAGAUGCUAUUUUGCACAAGAAUAUACUCAACCUUCAGGUUUGGAAGUAUAUACCCACGUGAAUUAUCCCUGCUAAAUAUGUUCCUAAUUUCAGAAUUAAGUUUAGACCAUCAUUUGGGAUGCCUUAUCAACCAAGGCUUUAGUUUUUCACUAGGCUACUCUUGGUGUUUAGGAAAUGAUAUUUAGUGUGUGUUUUUUUUUUUUAAUGGAUAAAACAGAUUUCUAAUGAACGAGAAAGAAGAAAUAGAAGAAUAAAGAGAAAGUUGUUAAAUAAUUUUUACAAUUAAUAAAUUCCCAAGACAAAUGUUUAAUCCAAAAAUAUCCAUAUAUAUAUAUAUAUAUAUAUCUACAUUUUUUCAUUGCAAUUCUGAAUAUUAUCUUUCUCACUUUCGAAGAAAAGUAGUACGUAAUUGUUUCAUCAAGUUGAUGAUGAUAAGUACUGUAUCGAAAGCAACCCAAUCACUUGCAUGAAGAAAAAAAAGCAACCCAAUCACUAUACUCAACUUCUAAUCCUCCGCCACGUCAACAAUCAGAAACAAAUCUACGGUCAAAAAGAAACGAUCACGUAUCAUAAAAAAAACACCGCGUAGCAUCUUAUCUUUACCUCUCUUUAUCCACGACAAGAUAGAUAAAUGGAUAGUGUUGUGUUGUUGGUCUUUCUCUCUUUCUCUUUCUCUCUGCAGCAAAACCCGAGGGAGACCAAACCAAACAUAAUAAUAAACUCAAAUAAACCAAAAAAAACAAAAACCUUAAAACCUUCAAUUUCAUUUCAUGUCUCGGAUCCUGUGAUUCGGAUCUUCAAAACCCGAUAAUUCACCUCUCUCCUUCGAUCCGGUUCAGAAAUCAUGACCCGUCGUUGUUCUCAUUGCAGCCACAAUGGGCACAACUCAAGAACCUGUCCAAAUCGUGGUGUGAAGCUGUUUGGAGUAAGAUUAACCGAUGGGAUCCGGAAAAGUGCUAGUAUGGGUAAUCUUAGCCACUAUAGCGGGUCCGGGUCUGGACUUUUGAAUACCGGGUCAAAUACUCCUGGUUCACCUGGUGAAAACCCUGAUCAUGGUGCUGAUGGCUAUGGUUCUGAGGAUUUUGUUCCUGGUUCUUCUUCUACUUCCCGUGAAAGAAAAAAGGGUUUGUUUCUUAAAACCUUUUUCUUUUUAACUCUUUUGCUUGCAUGUGAAUUUUUGGAAUUUAAUUUUGUUCUGUUUUUUUUUUUUGAGCUAGAUGAAUUCAACUAUAUUGGAUUAAUUAUGUGAUCUUGUUUUGGAUUGGUUUGUAUUUACGAUUAUGACAAAAAAAUAUUUAUAUUUUUGAUUUUUGGUUGGUGUAAUUGUAGGAGUAACUAGACAAGAAAGGUACUGAUACGUGUUAACUUUAUUAGUGAUUGUCUCUUUUGAGAGAAUUAUUGGAAUGUUUCAUGAAUUUUGUAUCUGAAUUUUGGUCUAAGAAAUGGAUAGAUACAAGUCUUAGGCCAUGUGGUUCAAAAACAAUGUUUCUCAUGUGCUUCAAAAUUACUCAUAUUUACUUAUUUAGUGUCUAUUGGGUUGGUGUCUGUUUAACUUGGAUGUGUUGUGUAUUCUAGUCUCUAAUUAUGGGGGAUGUGGUCCAUUAAUAUGCAUAUAUUACACUGUUUCAGCUAUCUAAACUAGGCUUUAUAUUUUACAUUAAAAAAAAAAAUAAACGCGUUGAAAAAAGUCUAUGAUGAUAGAUUAAAUACCAGGCUGUGGCAGGUGUUUAACAAACCUUGUCUAGCUUGUUUCACCCCUAAUGAUCUGCAAGCAAUAGCAGAAUAUGCUCUUUCUAGCUAUAUAGUUCGGCUCUAAUGAGCUUUCACUUAAAGACGAAUAAUUCAGGAGAACCUGAGUUCGAAUCAUGACUAAAACAAUCUUUGGCCAAGCUUUAUUUUCGUCUAGGUCGAACUCUGGAUUACCAGAGGCCCUUUCCCCUAGGAAGUAGGAACCGAAGGGUCAAGACAGAGAAAAAAAUGGUCUUUUUGAUGAUGAUUUCUUAAGUUUUAUCAGAUUACACACAACCCUGAAUAGGGUCACAUUUCUUAAACGACAACAUGGCUAGCUUAUUUCCUCCCCUAAAUCUAAUACUAUGUGCAAGGUUUGGCUUCCGAUCCAUCCCAAGAGUGAGUAGGGCCUAGAUCAAACUUUAGAUAGACCUUUUUGCUUCAAAUGAGAUUUGUGGCUAUUUUUGCCAGCAUUUAAAGCUUUAUUUUUUAAACAUUCAAAUAGUCAAUGUUAGGUAUAAUUUUUUGGGGGCCUAAAGCCUUUGACUCAUUUAACUAGGUUUCAGACCAGUACUGUUUAGCUGAAUUUGAAUUUUAUCUAUUUGAAGUUCAUAUUACAGUCAGCUUCAACGGGGAUCACGGAAAAUUCUUGUGUUGUUUUUGUCAGCUUUUGAUUUUUAAUAUAUUUUUUUCAGGCACUCCAUGGACUGAGGAGGAACAUAGAAUGUUUUUACUUGGAUUGAACAAGCUGGGCAAAGGUGAUUGGCGUGGAAUUGCCAGGAACUAUGUUAUAUCAAGGACACCUACUCAAGUGGCCAGUCACGCUCAAAAAUAUUUCAUCAGGCAAAGCAAUGUGUCUAGGCGAAAGAGACGGUCCAGCCUGUUUGAUAUUGUUGCAGAUGAUGUUUGUCCCCUUAUUUCCAAAUUCUAUUUGCAUAAAAUGUGUUUCCUUUACAUUAUGUUGCAUAUAAUGAAAUUGAUGCCACAUAACCUGUUCAUUACCAUUUGAUAAGAUUAUCCAAAUGUGUUUCUUUCUUUAACGAUAUUGUUUGACCUUUUAUGGAUACUUUGAAAAUUAAGUCAGUGAGUCUCAUGUACACGACACUGUUUUCCAUUUGGGAAAAUUGUCCAUUUCCUGGACAUUUUGGAUGUUGAUGACCUCUCUGUGUAUUAAUAAUGUUCGGGUUAGAUAUUUAUAGAACCAUGGCUCUAGGGUAUUUAGCAAUGUUUUAAUAGCCGGACUGAACCAACCAACCGGUUGUGCUGAGAGGGAACCAACUAGUUCCCUGGUUGGUUUGAAUCCAAUUAUAUAGCUGGCUGGUUGAACCGCAGUUCAACUGUGGCUGGUUCAACCGUUUUUUUUUUAAUACUUUUUCUUAAAAAACUUUUUUUAUUUGUCAUUUAGUUCAUUGAACCAUGACCUGUAUUUCUCACCAAUUUGAUGUCGGUACUGAUUUUUAAAAUAUUGGUAUUUAGUUUGGAGGAAAAACAUUGCAUUUUCUGAUGUGGUUCUCUUUUGAAAUUUAUAUAAGCAUUAUGUAACCUCACUUUUCCUUUUCCUUCUGAACCUUCUAAUUUUUCUGGAUUUCUUGUAUUUUUGUUUUGAUUUUGCAGGCACCUGAUACUUCAAUGGUACCGCAAGACUUCUUGUCAGCUAAUCAACUACAAACUGAAACAGAAGGCAAUAACCCUUUGCCUGCUCCUCCUCCGCUCGAUGAAGAAUGUGAAUCGAUGGAUUCUACAAACUCAAACGAUGGAGAGUCUGCCUCUGCCCCAUUAAAGCCCGACAGCAAUGCACAAGCGUCGGCUUACCCAGUAGUAUAUCCGGCAUAUUAUUCUCCAUUCUUCCCUUUUCCUCUUCCCUAUUGGUCUGGAUACAGUCCUGAGCCGGCUCCUAAGAAAGAAACACAUGAAGUGGUGAAGCCAACCCCAGUACAUUCCAAGAGCCCAAUCAAUGUCGAUGAACUCGUUGGCAUGUCAAAACUGAGUUUAGGUGAAACUAUUGGUGAUGCUGGCCCCUCGACUCUGUCUCGUAAACUACUCGAAGAAGGUCCGUCUAGACAGUCUGCUUUUCAUACAACUCCAGCUUGUGGGACUGUUCUGUGAGCAUUAUUAUCAUGAUGUGGUCUUGUGUAAUUCAUCAAAUAUACUUGGUUUGGGAUAACCUUAAUAAUUUUUUACUUGCCCUUCCAGAAUGGUUAACCUAGUUUGUUUGUUUGUUCGCUUGUAGGCAGUAGCAUCUAGUAUUUACUUGGGUUUAAUUAAAACUUGAUGUUUGUUUAGUAGUUUUCAACUUUGCAUUUCUCAGGGUUAUGUGAAGCUUGAUUGUGCAGUUUGACAAUCUACCAAGUUGUGCUUCCAAUUUGAGUGUUGUCAAAAAGUUAGGACUAUUACUUUUCCUACCCUAUCAUUUUCUCACAUUCUCACAUGUCCUAUUUUUCUUUUCUUUCAAAAAUACUCCUUGUUCGGAUUAUAUAAUCUGAAAAUAACUAUCAAUCUAUAUGUGUUGCCCAGUAUUUAAAAGAAAGAGAGGUGUGUAUUAUUUCAUUGACAUAAUUAUAAAUGACAAAAACAUAAAAUAAAUAUAAUUAUAAACAAAAUUAAUGGAACAAAGAUGAUACAAAUUUUUAUUUUAUUAUAAGUUAAAUUAUAAGGUUUGUUUCCUUUUUAGGGUGAAAGAGAUCUUGGUGGUCAACCUUACACCCAAGCAGACCAACCUCGCAUCCAGAUAGGCCGCACUUCUUUGCAGUGUGGCACCAUCCCCAUUGAUCAUUCCUACAAUCAUUGGAUUUUCAAAGUAGCCUUUUGUAUGAAAGACCAAUGAAGGAAAAACAUUGUUGUAGAAGAAUGGAGGUGGUGUUAAAGAGUAUUUAUAAGGGAAAUUUGUGAAUAAUGAGUAGCAUAGAGUGUAGCGAUUCUUAAUUAUGGGUCAAAAAACGUGUUCAAAGAGUUUUACUGGCCAUUAAAGCCCGUAAAAUCCUUUGAAAAACAUGUUCCAUGAGUUACUCUUGCUGAGCAAGUAACCGUCCAACACUUUGAGUUGAUUCAGACUCUACAAUCCAAAAUGUUUCAGAUUAUAGAAUCUGAAAUGCUUCAAUAAUGAGUUAAAACGAGUGAAACUUCGUACUUUGUAGGGUGAGGGAUAUUUCGAGUUAUACAAUCCGAAAACCUUAUGCACAUAUUUCUAUGUGGUCCACAUUGCACCAACAGUUUUUGUGAUCCAUGACGGCCUAAGACUUCUAUAAAUUAGUCUGCCUGUUUUCUAGAUUUUAGAAUCUGAAAAUAAGGCGUCGAGAAGAUUGUAGUGUUGAAAAUAAAAUCACAUAAAAGAUGAAGAUAUGCAUACACAAAUGAGAAUAUGAAACUUAUAUUCUCGAUAAGUGUUUUAAUCAUGGAGGAGGAAGAAAGAGACAAGACCGUUCCUAGAGUUUUACAGACCUUAGGCAUAAUAUGAAAAAGGCCCCCUUAUAUGAUAUAUCAUAAAUUUUUUUAGUUCAUUGUUGUGAUUUUAUGUCUUCAUUUUAAUUUUUUCCCGCUUUUUACCAACAAAAAAGAACAAAAAAAAAAAAAGAUGAGUAGGCCAUAUCAUCCUAAAUGCGUCUCAUAUCGGUUUCAUGAUCGUGAACAUGUCUCGCAUGAUUUUCCAUUAUCAAAUUCAAUUUUGUAAUCAUUUUAAUAAUUCAAGAAAGUUGACAUUACUAUUAUGAUAUAAUUUAAUUUUUUGGAACCUUUGAAAAAGACCAUUAAGAUUAAUUUCUCUAAUAGGCAGAUUUUCAACUAAAAUAUAAUUUGUUUAGUUAUAAAAUUGUCUCAAUUUCUUGGAUAAUAAAUAUUACCAAUAUUUUUAAUAUUAGUGAGACACAUUAUUAGGUAAAAAGGUCCCAAAAAAUAUCACCAAUUUCUUCGAGAAUAAUUGUUUUGGCAGAUUAUUAAGAAGAAAAAAAAACAUUAAAGGGAGGGUGUAUAUAUAAUUUUUUUAUAUACAGGGGUGUAUAUAGUAAAUAACGAAAAAAAAGGGCCUAAAACUUGAACAAGCUUCAGUCCAGCCUUUCAUCAUUACAAUGUUUGGGCCUUUCAGUGAAUAUUUCUAUACACAUCCCGCAAAAACCAAAUAUUUCUAUAUACACCCCCACCUUAAAAAAAAAUUAGGGCCCCUACCGGCAUGGGCCCUAGGCCGUCACACCCCUGGCCUAAGCCUAGGGCCAGCCUUGAGAGAUAGCAUGUUUGAUCAUCCAAUAAAGUGGAGAGCAUCGCUAUCAAUUUGAAACCUAUAUUUCAAACGUAGAAGGAUAACUAUUACAAUAUUUACUAAUUACUCCCUUCACAAAAAACAUAAUCUGGUAAGUAAAAGUUUUUUGGAAUUGAAUAAGUUAUCAGAAAACUUAAGUUUUAUUGAAUUUUUUUUAAAGAAUCCGGUUAAAUUGUAGAUUUCUUCAAAGCUCCAAGGACAAAAACAUAUCACAAAUAUAAACAUUUAGAUAUUAGGUUCAUGUCAAUUAAUUAAAUAUUUAUUUAGUUAUCUAAUUAGAAAUCUAAAUAGUCUAUGUACCCAAAAAAAAUAUAAAUAGUUUUAUUACGUAAUUUUACGCUAAUCAAUUACGACUUCUGAUUAAUACAAAUAUUAUAAGGGUUAAAUAUAUUUUUAAUCCUUACAUUUUGCGCCCCUUUGAAGAAUAGUCCCUACAUUUUAUUAAAUAUUUCUAAAAUCCUCAUAUUUUAUCUCCCUUAUCAAAAUUAGUCACUGUUGUUAAUUCUCUAACGAAAUGCUGAUAUGACAGUUAAUGGAUUCAAAAAUGUAAGGACUAUUCUUCAAAGUCAAGCAAAAUGCAGGACCAAAAAAAAUAUAUUUAACCCUAAUGCAGGAUGUAAAAUAUUUCGAGAUAAAAAAUAUUCCAAAAGAGUAAUAUAUGAUAACCUAAUAUAUAUUAUCUUUUUAUUUGAUUAUUUCUUAAAAUAGACCUUAAAUACAAAAUAUGUGUGUAUCAAUUUUAAUUUCAAAUAGAAAUUAAAUUGUAGUAUGUCAAUAUGGAUAUUUGAAAAUUAUGUCGAAUCAAAAAAAUUAAUUACGUUCACAUCACCCAAACAAGACAUAUUUUCAAUACAAUCUUUAUCACAUUCAAAUAAUUACCAUAAAUAUUUCUUUCUUUCUUUUGAGAGUACGUUCAAAUAAUUAGCAUAAAUAUUUAUUUCUUUCCUCUGAGAGAAAGAAAUAUUUCUUUCUUUCUUUUGAGAGCACAUUCAAAUAAUUAGCAUAAAUAUUUCUUUCUUUCUUUUGAGAGCACAUUCAAAUCAUUAGCAUAAAUAUUUAGUUAUUUCUAAAUAUAAGUGUUUUAUUUUUUUGACAAAUUCUAAUAUAAGUGUAUUUUUUUAAGGAAUCUAAUAUAAGUGUUAUUAUCAUCAUAAAUAUAAUUCUAAUAAAUCCUUAUCUUAAUAUUAUGGUUUUCAAAUCACAAACAAAUGUGAUAUCAAACAUUUUUUUGAGAUGUUAUCAAACAUAUAUAGCCAAUAUAUAUUCAGGAAGAUCCGUGUGUAUCCUAAUAUUAUUGUGCGUCGGAUAUGAGUUUAACUCAAUUGAUAUUGAUAAUGCAUAACAUAUGCGAGAUCAAGGUUCAAGCUACGGCCACAAAAAAAAGUUUUUUUGGUAAAUUAGAGAUCAUAAAUAUGUAUAAAGUCAUCUUAUAUCCAAUUAGAAAUUUAAAUAGUCAGCUUUAUUAUUUAAUUUGAUCACUAAUCAAUUAAAAUUUUGAUUGAUUAAUUAAUAGUAAACACAAUUACGAUAAAGAUUUUAACUUAUUUAAUGAUAAAGGAUGUGAGCUUAACUCAGUUGAUAUUGAUAAAUGACCUAUCCGAAACAAACUUAAAAUUUAAAGGACCUAUCUGAAACUUUAGAAACUUAAAUGAUCUAUCUGAAAUAAACAUAAAACUUAAAGGACUCGGGAAGGUAUUUGAUCUAUAAUUAAAUAAUUUGGUUUAAUUUUCUAUUAAAUAAUUAUUUGUCAAAUUUUACUUACGUUUUUUUUGUGGAACUUGAGAUUUCUAAAAUUCAUUUCACUUGAACCGAAUAGUUAACACAAGAAAAAUCAAUAAAAUUCAAGUUAAUUGAAGACCAAACUUACACGGUAACAAAUCAAAGUUUGAAUAUUACCACUUAGAAAUGAAUGGAUCAACUUAAUGUUUGAUUAAGACAUCUGAGAUGAAGGACAUUCAAGAAGAAGAAAUAAAAUUUAAAAGGGCAAAAAAUGAAAAGAGUAGAUGAGGCCACGAGGGUAGAUAUUUUAAGCUUCUAGAUGAUUGCUCAGCUAAUUCUCGUUGGAACAGUAAUUAAUAACUACGAUAACAUAAAAAGAAAAGUUAAAUUUCAUCAAAAUAAAUAAAUAAAGAAAAACAGCAUGGUCCGUUUGGAUAUUGUAAUGUAAAAACAAAAUUCAAAGAUCGACUUUGAAAGUCGCAUCUAUCUAUCCACUUUUAUUUUUUCAACAUAAUCUCAAUCAUUUUUAUACUCCUAUUUGUUUUCCCCAAAAAGAAAAACACUAUAUAAAGCGAGUACAUUAGUCGCAAAUUUCUGGCGUCAUUACAUUUGUCUACUCGUGCAAAGAAUAAGCAAAUCUCGUAGUUCUCAUUACUUCUUAUUCUCAAACACCACUUUUCUUUCUUCUUUCUUUCUUCUUAUUCAAAACAGAAUAGAACUGUUACGUUUUGAAGAACAAUGGAAGGUGAAGAUCACUUAGCUUUCGAAAGGAACAAAGCUGAAUUCGAUGUGGACGCAAUGAAAAUCGUUUGGGCAGGUUCCGCUCAUGCUCUUGAAGUUUCUGAUCGAAUGUCUCGCCUCGUUGCCAGUGAUCCGGUUUUUUUUCUUCCUCAACUCUUCAAUUUCGUCCUUCUCUUAGCUUCUUGUGUCUUCAUAUUUUUAACAAUAACAAUUCUUAUUCAUUCAUUUUACGGAUCCUAGAGCUUCUGA